UACAGAGGUCUCAAGCGUUGUUCGGAUUCAUUGGGCGUAAAGGGUGCGUAGGCGGCGCGGUAAGUCGGGUGUGAAAUCUCGGAGCUUAACUCCGAAACUGCAUUCGAUACUGCCGUGCUUGAGGACUGGAGAGGAGACUGGAAUUCCUGGUGUAGCGGUGAAAUGCGCAGAUAUCAGGAGGAACACCGGUGGCGAAGGCGGGUCUCUGGGACGGUACUGACACUGAGACGCGAAAGCGUGGGGAGCGAACAGG
rnacentral:rRNA from 1 species